UGGGGAAUCUUGGACAAUGGGGGCAACCCUGAUCCAGCGAUGCCGCGUGUGUGAAGAAGGCCUUCGGGUUGUAAAGCACUUUAGUUGGGGAGGAAGUUGCGGAGUUUAAGAGAUACUGCAAUUGACUGUACCCAAAGAAUAAGCACCGGCUAACUCUGUGCCAGCAGCCGCGGUAAUACAGAGGGUGCAAGCGUUAAUCGGAAUUACUGGGCGUAAAGGGCGCGUAGGCGGUCAUGUAAGUUGGAUGUGAAAUCCCUGGGCUUAACCCAGGAACUGCAUCCAAAACUGUGUGGCUAGAGUGCGGUAGAGGGUAGUGGAAUUUCCGGUGUAGCGGUGAAAUGCGUAGAUAUCGGAAGGAACACCAGUGGCGAAGGCGGCUACCUGGACUGACACUGACGCUGAGGCGCGAGAGCGUGGGGAGCAAACAGGAUUAGAUACCCCGGUAGUCC
rnacentral:rRNA from 1 species